rnacentral:rRNA from 1 species
GAUGAACGCUGACAGAAUGCUUAACACAUGCAAGUCUACUUGAAUUUGGGUUUUUAACUUAGAUUUGGGUGGCGGACGGGUGAGUAACGCGUAAAGAACUUGCCUCACAGCUAGGGACAACAUUUAGAAAUGAAUGCUAAUACCUAAUAUUAUGAUAAUAGGGCAUCCUAUAAUUAUGAAAGCUAUAUGCGCUGUGAGAGAGCUUUGCGUCCCAUUAGCUAGUUGGAGAGGUAACAGCUCACCAAGGCGAUGAUGGGUAGCCGGCCUGAGAGGGUGAUCGGCCACAAGGGGACUGAGACACGGCCCUUACUCCUACGGGAGGCAGCAGUGGGGAAUAUUGGACAAUGGACCGAGAGUCUGAUCCAGCAAUUCUGUGUGCACGAUGAAGUUUUUCGGAAUGUAAAGUGCUUUCAGUUGGGAAGAAAGAAAUGACGGUACCAACAGAAGAAGUGACGGCUAAAUACGUGCCAGCAGCCGCGGUAAUACGUAUGUCACGAGCGUUAUCCGGAUUUAUUGGGCGUAAAGCGCGUCUAGGUGGUUAUAUAAGUCUGAUGUGAAAAUGCAGGGCUCAACUCUGUAUUGCGUUGGAAACUGUAUAACUAGAGUACUGGAGAGGUAAGCGGAACUAUAAGUGUAGAGGUGAAAUUCGUAGAUAUUUGUAGGAAUGCCGAUGGGGAAGCCAGCUUACUGGACAGAUACUGACGCUGAAGCGCGAAAGCGUGGGUAGCAAACAGG